rnacentral:rRNA from 1 species
AGUCGAGCGGACCAUUGGAGCUUGCUCCUUUGGUUUAGCGGCGGACGGGUGAGUAACACGUGGGCAACCUGCCCUGCAGAUCGGGAUAACUCCGGGAAACCGGUGCUAAUACCGAAUAGUUUGCGGCCUCUCAUGAGGCUGUACGGAAAGACGGUUUCGGCUGUCACUGCAGGAUGGGCCCGCGGCGCAUUAGCUAGUUGGUGAGGUAACGGCUCACCAAGGCCACGAUGCGUAGCCGACCUGAGAGGGUGAUCGGCCACACUGGGACUGAGACACGGCCCAGACUCCUACGGGAGGCAGCAGUAGGGAAUCUUCCGCAAUGGACGAAAGUCUGACGGAGCAACGCCGCGUGAGUGAAGAAGGUUUUCGGAUCGUAAAACUCUGUUGUGAGGGAAGAACAAGUACCAAUUAACUACUGGUACCUUGACGGUACCUCACCAGAAAGCCACGGCUAACUACGUGCCAGCAGCCGCGGUAAUACGUAGGUGGCAAGCGUUGUCCGGAAUUAUUGGGCGUAAAGCGCGCGCAGGCGGUCCUUUAAGUCUGAUGUGAAAGCCCACGGCUCAACCGUGGAGGGUCAUUGGAAACUGGGGGACUUGAGUGC